GGGUGGGCCUGCGGGGGGCUUUGGGCGGCGGGACGAAGCGGGCUCGGUGGGCGUUCGGCUUAGCGGGUGCGAGCGGGGCUUCCGCGCUGCUCGGACGGGCGCUAGGGGGCCUGAGAGCUGCCCGUCGCCCUCUGGUCCUCCCGGGAGAAGAUGACCGUCCUGGGCCGCCGAGGGACGGGUGGCGGCUGGAGAUGACAAAGUUGACGGGAUCCGCAGAAGUCGCUUUCACCGACGUGGAGGGGCUUGGACCGGGAGCCAUCUCGUUUGCCUCCUAGAGGCCGUUCAGGAGGAAGGCUCCCAAAUGUGACCUACUUGUGAGGAUUCGCCUGGCCUGUACAGGGCACCCUGUCAUGGACCCACUACGUUAAGUGCUCACACCACCAGCGACGUAAAUAGGUUUCACACAAGUGCAUGAAAGGGACAGUCAUUCUUCCCCUUUCUCUCCCCGUAGGUUUCUCCUUCCUGUAAUGCAAACCGGGUAUCUGUCCAGUUCACACCCUCUUGCCCCGAAUUCUAGGGAAACCCCACCCGCUUUUUAGAUUCCUCUCUUCCAAAACUCACAUUAAGUCACGUGCUCUACUACAUGCGUGGCUUCAUUUUCUCCCUACCCCGAGAACACUGGCUGCCCAACUGAUUUUUUUUUAAUCCUACACAUUUGGUGGAAAUAUUAGUUACAUUUGUGGCAAUGGAGUCCAAGUUGCAGGACAAAAUUCAGACUUUUUUUUUUUCUCUUGUGUCGCUUUUUAGUGAAGCAAAGCCCAGUUAUUUCUGCUUUCAUUCGGACCUUGGGUCGGUAGCCCAGUUAUUUCUGCUUUCAUUCGGACCUUAGGUCGGUCAUCAUGCUGCUGAUUCCGCUCACAUCCCAUGCACUCUCCUCUGAGACAGUUUGGACUGCAGCACAGCCUUCCAAAUACUAACAUGCCUGCUACUAUUCACACCCCAGCCAAAGUGAUUCUGUUUAAUUUGACACUCUCUUCCUUAAAAACCUCUUAUGACCCUAUCAUACUUGGAAUAACCUCCAAACUACUUCUCACAAUGUGUAAGAUGCUACAUAGCCCAGCUCCUGACCUCUGUCUGCCAGCUCUCUGACAUAGUCGGCCAUUUAGUCUCGCACGCAAGACUGUCAUUCAUACAUACCAUCUUUCCGGUUAAUCUUCAGUUAACCUGCUCCUUCCCAUCACAUAUUUCUGCUCAAGUAGUUGACCUCCCUCAGACCAUCACCUCAUUUGGACACCAUUCUCAUUCGUUCAUUCCUCUGUCCAUCACUAGAGGCUGGAGAAGGGCUGCGUGCCUGCCAUCUUGAAGUAGACUGUGGUUGAGACAGUGAGCAAACACAAGCAUAUAUUGUGUGGCAGUGAUGUAACAAUUAAGGAGAUAGGAGAACCCGCAGGGCAGGUGAACUCUUCUUUUAAAAUGUCAAUGAUUAAGGGAGGUUUUGUUAAUAAAAUGACAUUUGGAAAAAGAAUUCUGAAUGGAAGCAGAGAGAUGGGGUAUGCUCUGAAGAAUUAUCUAAAUUACUGGAUGUGGGAAAUGAGUAAGAAAUCAAUGAUUACUGGGUUUUGAUUCAGACAACUGGAAGAACAGAGGACCUAUUGGGAUGGGGAAGACUUACAGAAAUGGGAUAGGCAAAUUUUGUAAUUUUUUUUUUUAGGGAGGAAUUUUUUUGUGGGAGGUCUGGAUUUACUUUAUUUUAGAUAUGUUAGGAUUGAGAUUUAUGGUCAUCAAAAUGGAAAAUGCCAAUAAACAGUUGGAUAUGAGUAUCUAGCAUUUGAAGGAAGAAGCUGUAGCUCAGGAUAGUAAAUUUAGCAGCUGCAACAUGUAGUUGAUGUUUAAAGAUCUGACACUGGACGAUGUCACAAACAGAAUUUAUAAAAGUAGCGAUGAGAAAUUGAUAGAAGCAGCAAGGAGAGAUAAUUUCAAAACAGUCUCUGACUGCUCCAGGGUUUAUGGGUUCAAGAGAGGAGGGCAAGCUAGCCAAGCAGCUGGGCAGCAAUAGCCAGGGGUGGAGGAGAAUCGAAAGCUGGGUCCCAGAAGCCAGGAAGACAAACUGUCUUCCGAGGAAAGAGUGACCAAUUGGGUGAGACGUGAACAGAGAAUUGACCUAAAUAUAACAACAUUCUCUGACCCUGCAGAGCUGUCUCCGUUAGGUAGUGGGUAUAAAGGUAUCGGGAGUGGGAAUAAAGAGCCAAGUGGACAAAAGGGAAUUCAGACACUUCGAAGGAAUUUGACUUUCCAGUGGGUCCAAGAGAGCAGGAAUUCAAAGGGACUCUGUUUUUUUUAAGAGGAAAAUGUGACUAUGUUGUGCUAGGAUUGAAUUGGUAGAGGUUAAAAUUGAUGAUGCAGUGGAGAGAAGGGCCAGCAGCUCGAACCACUAACGUAGGUUUGUCAGGUUGGGUUCUGUGUGGGCAAAGGCAGAAUUGGAGCACUAAAUAUAUUUUUUUUAAGUCGUCAAGAACUGUGAGAGGAAUGAAGAAAGCAAGAUGGGGCAGAGGAAGAGUGGAGCUGAUCCCACAAAUCGUCAGCCACCCCUGGAGUUGAGUACUGCUCUUCAGUACAAGAUUCCUGAAUGCUGGCCCCCAAAAUUGUUCGGUUCUUGCAUACAGGCUGCUCCAGGAAGGCAUGAGUUCAGGAAUGAUAACAACUUUAUAGAUCUUGAAGUAGGUGAUCGAUGGAGGCUGUCUACUGAGCAUACCUUUAUAGCUGGGCAAGGGUAUAAAUGCUGGGGACUAGGUCAUUGAUAAACAAUAGAGGCUUAUUUCGUUUAUGAUUUUGAAGGCUGAGAAGUCCAAAAGCAUGGUGCCAGCAAACCAAUAAAGGUCUCACUGCUGUGUUACUACAGCAGAGUACAUCCUAUGGGGGGAGGGGUGGGAGCUAGCACAGGUGUGCUAGAUCAGAUCGCUCUUAAACCUUUUUCUGACCCUAAUAUGUUUUCAACACAUGAAAUGUGGACAGCACAUUCAAACCAUAGCAACCGAGUAACAAAGAAUUCAGAAGCUAUGCAUGCAUUCAAAUUUAGGGUGGCAGAUACAGUGAGAGUUUUAGAAGUUCUGAUUCCUAAAUGCUUCUUGGUCAAUUUAAGUAUAGUUACUGAUAAUAAGUGAGUUGCCGAGAAGGCUGCUGGACAUUUGAGGAGCUUGAAAAUUCAACUAGUUGUGUAGGCUAAUGGAAGAUGAUAGGAUUAAGCAGGUGGUUUUGCCAGGCAGCUACAAGGAGCCAUUGAGAUUCGUGGCUCAAUUACUGAAAUCAAUGACUUCAACUUUAUUGUUCCUCCUGUGUCUGGUAUAAAGAUGGCAGGAAGGAAUGGAGAGAGGGGGGCAGAAAACACUUAAGUAGUUUGGAAUUUUUCUAAGCAAACAGAAGGACAAGUAGGUGGAUUGAGGAUUUUCACAGGUAGUGAACACAGUGGACUAGAGACUCAGGAGGAAGAGAAGUGAGGGCCAGAGGAUAAACUCAGAAGGGGGCAGGCAGGAUUAGUGAGAUCUCUCUUUUUCUUCAAUGACAUUAUUUCUCAGCACCUGCAUAUUCUGUUUCAUUGUCUUUUUUUAAAAUGUAGCUCCCAGUUGAGCACCGGUACUCUGGAGGCAGAGGCAGGCUAUUUGACCUUCAAGACCUGCCAUCCCAGCAUGACUCCUUUAUGUUCAAAAUAGUAAGGGAAGAGCAGAAGUUUUACACCUGCUGCUCCUUUGUAAGCCUGGUUAGUGGUCAGUCAGAAGACUAUACCCAGCCCCAGGUGUAGUUCUUCUGCCUUGGAAAGGGACAAUAACUGCCAUAAUUUCUUUCUAUAAUUGCCAUAAUUACCAUUGAGAUGAACAGAAGAUGUGGUUGAAUAUGUCUGUUAUCUUUAUUUGGGCAGUUGUUAAAAUAGUCUUAAAUUUUCAUUUUGCCUUUGAUAAAGUCUUAACAUCCACUACAUAUCCAUAUCAAUGUUUCCCAGGCAUUUAUCAAACUUGCACGCACACAUCUGUCUACAUUGCAAGCUUUGUAGGCGGAGAUCAUGCCCAUGCUUUUAUUCUCCCGGUGUUGGCGUGGGGACCUGAUAGUUUGAGGAUACUUAAUUACUACGUUAUACCCCCUUUUAGUUCUUAGACAGUGGCUCAAGUCUGUUGUCUGGAUGCUAUUUAAAGAUGGCUCAACAAAAUUGACUCACUGGGUUAACAUGCUUUGAACAAGCUGAUGACCAGUUCUUUUUUAAACAUGGUCAGAAAUGUAAAUAUAGUGGAACAUUUGUUUCUUCUAAAAACAAGAUCUCCUACUCUAUUUUUAUAGAGUUAGUAAAAAUUCACGUCUUCAUAAUUGGAGAUGAGGGUUUAGACUGUGGACGCGGCAGUCUCCCACUGGUUGAUGAUAACCCGCUGUUCUAGCUUGCCAGUGGCCCGUGAGGACGACUCAAGGCAUGAAAGAUUGAAGAUUGAAAGUUUGUGGAGUCUUGCAUCAUGAUUUCAGAGAGCUACGGAGACCAGGCAAUGUGUGGCAUGGUUGGAGUCUUCCAAGAAGGCCAUGACAGGAUACUACUUGAAGAUGAAUCCUAAGCUGUAGUGGAGACCACAGUGUGUUGGAGACACCAGAACUUUGGGAUAUCUAUUGAGGAAAUUUGUAGGACUUUGAAUUCUAUCAAGUUUUCUUGGGUCUUCAACUUGGAGAUAGUGGACUGUGAGACUCCUCAGCAUCCAGGAUCAUAUGAGUCCAUCCCUUUCAGAAAGGCUUAUCCCUUUGAGGAUGUUUCAUGGGACUGAAGUUGGAUUUGCCGGUGUUUGCUGCUGUAAAUGUCCUUUGUAGCGCUCUUCUGGGUUCUUCCUGUGCUCCACCGCUCCUCAUUUCUGCUCUGCCUCAGCCAGCAGUUUCUUCUCAAAUAAAAAUCUGAUAUCACACUUCUGUGCUAAUAUGUCGGCAUCUCCUCAUCUGUGAAAUAAAGUGCAGUCUUUAAAAACAUGGCCCAGAGAUGCUGCCUGACUUGCUCUCUGCCUUGAGUCCACUCUUCCCAACCAUCUGCAGUCUUACCCCCAAGAGAUGAACUGUAAGUUCUUUGAAUUGCCAAGCGACCUUUUCCUUUUGGC